rnacentral:rRNA from 1 species
AACGAACGCUGGCGGCAUGCCUAACACAUGCAAGUCGAACGAGACCUUCGGGUCUAGUGGCGCACGGGUGCGUAACGCGUGGGAACCUGCCCUUAGGUUCGGAAUAACUCCCCGAAAGGGGUGCUAAUACCGGAUAAUGUCUUCGGACCAAAGAUUUAUCGCCUUUGGAUGGGCCCGCGUUGGAUUAGCUAGUUGGUAGGGUAAAAGCCUACAAAGGCGACGAUCCAUAGCUGGUAUGAGAGGAUGAUCAGCCACACUGGGACUGAGACACGGCCCAGACUCCUACGGGAGGCAGCAGUGGGGAAUAUUGGACAAUGGGCGAAAGCAUGAUCCAGCAAUGCCGCGUGAGUGAUGAAGGCCUUAGGGUUGUAAAGCUCUUUUACCCGGGAUGAUAAUGACAGUACCGGGAGAAUAAGCUCCGGCUAACUCCGU